GAAAUGCGAUAAGUAAUGUGAAUUGCAGAAUACUGUGAGUCAUCAAAUCCUUGAACGCAAAUUGCGCCUAUUGGCUCACCAAUAGGCACGCCUGUUUGAGUGUCGUUUUCUUAAUCAAAAUGCCUUACUCUUUUUUAGUAGUAGUAGGGUUUUUGGAUGCUGAGCGUUCAAUUCUCCAAGUGAGAAUUUGAUUGCUUGAAAUCGAGUGAUAAAUAGGAGGGGACUGAAUUUCUAUACAUGGAUUACGAACCCUUGUUGAAAUCACUAGCAAGGUUCUCUUUUCCUGUAUGGGUCAGAGCUCCAACUCAUAAGGAAAAAAGUUGCUUUUUAUCUCUAUCGACCUCAAAUCAGGUGAGAUUACCCGCUGAACUUAA
rnacentral:misc_RNA from 1 species